AUCCAGCUGUCGAAUCGCAAAUAGGACGAAACAUGCUUCUUGGAU
rnacentral:hammerhead_ribozyme from 1 species